AUCUUGGUCAAUUGGCGAAAGCCAGAACCAGUCAUGCCGCGUGCAGGAUGAAGGCCCUACGGGUCGUAAACUGCUUUUAUUCGGGAAGAAAAAGUCUGUUUCCACAGACCUUGACGGUACCGAUUGAAUAAGGACCGGCCAACUCCGUGCCAGCAGCCGCGGUAAUACGGAGGGUCCAAGCGUUAUCCGGAUUCACUGGGUUUAAAGGGUGCGCAGGCGGCUAAGUAAGUCAGUGGUGAAAGCCUUCGGCUCAACCGGAGAAUUGCCAUUGAAACUACUUAGCUUGAGUGCAGUAGAGGUAGGCGGAAUGUAGCAUGUAGCGGUGAAAUGCAUAGAUAUGCUACAGAACACCGAUAGCGAAAGCAGCUUACCACACUGUAACUGACGCUGAGGCACAAAAGCAUGGGUAGCAAA
rnacentral:rRNA from 1 species